CCUACGGGAGGCAGCAGUGGGGGAUAUUGCACAAUGGGGGGAACCCUGAUGCAGCGACGCCGCGUGGGGGAAGAAGCUCCUCGGCUCGUAAAGCCCUGUCAGCAGGGAAGAACAUUACGGUACCUGAUGAAGAAGCCCCGGCUAACUACGUGGCAGCAGCCGCCGUAAUACAUAGGAUGCAAGCGUUAUCCGGAUUUACUGGGCGUAAAACGAGCGCAGGAGGGUUAACAAGUAUGGGAUGAAAGGCUUUUGCUUAACGAAAGUUUGUAUCCAAAACUGUUAAUCUAGAGUGUAGUAGAGAGUUCUGGAAUUCCAUGUGGAGCGGUGGAAUGCGUAGAUAUAUGGAAGAACACCAGUGGCGAAGGCGAGAACUUAGGAUAUCACUGACGCUUAGGCUCGAAAGUGUGGGGAGCAAAUAGGAUUAGAUACCCGUGUAGUC
rnacentral:rRNA from 1 species